CCAGACUCCUACGGGAGGCAGCAGUGGGGAAUAUUGCGCAAUGGGGGAAACCCUGAUGCAGCGACGCCGCGUGAGCGAUGAAGUAUUUCGGUACGUAAAGCUCUAUCAGCAGGGAAGAAGAUGACGGUACCUGACUAAGAAGCCUCGGCUAACUACGUGCCAGCAGCCGCGGUAAUACGUAGGGGGCAAGCGUUAUCCGGAUUUACUGGGUGUAAAGGGAGCGUAGACGGCGGCGCAAGCCAGAUGUGAAAGCCCGGGGCUCAACCCCGGGACUGCUUUGGAAACUGUAUGGCUGGAGUGCUGGAGAGGCAAGCGGAAUUCCUAGUGUAGCGGUGAAAUGCGUAGAUAUUAGGAAGAACACCAGUGGCGAAGGCGGCUUGCUGGACAGUAACUGACGUUGAGGCUCGAAAGCGUGGAGAGCAAACAGGAUUAGAUACCCCUGUA
rnacentral:rRNA from 1 species